ACCAUAUUUAUUCAUCACUCUCAGGUUAAAUCCUAAAGAAAUUAACACACAAUACAAUGGUUGCGAUGGAGUUCUGCGGACAUUGUUGCAUUCUUCGUAACACUACAUCUUAUUUAUGUGAUGCCGUAUAUUUCAACUGUUGCAGAGAUUGUGGAAAGGUUCUGAGUGAGACUUGUGCAGAUAGUGGGACAGUUACAAGAGAGUCGGUUCCUAUGAGUUUGAGGACAAAUAAAAGUGAUAGAAUAAUCAAGAAAAAGAGUGUGAACAAAACCUAAACAACAAUAAUCAUCUUUGCAGGCCACAAGCACACCCUUCAUAACUACUAUUGGAGAAGUAUUGGUGUGGUGGCUUUAAUUUGAUUUGGAUUUGUUUGACAAAACUAUUGGCAAUUAUUUACCAUUUAAGACUAUAUAGGUUGGGGUUACAAAAGAAAAAAAGAGUAUGGUGGUUUAUGAUAUAAUUUUUUCUCAAUUAGAGGUUAUCCACCACUAAUUAUUUUUUAGAUGAUUAAUGUACUUAAAAUAAUGUACUUAGAAAUUGUUUUAAGGGCUAUGGUUAAUUUAUUAAUUUAUUGUCUUACUUGUAGACGUUUUUCAUAUCUUCCAAAUAUAAGCUUUUGAGAAUACAUCUAUUUUUUUUUUUUUUAAACAGAAAAAUAUUAUUAAUAUUAGGCAUGAGACAUGCCAAGGAUAUAAAGGGAGUUGAUUUGAAUAUGUAUUACAAUUUAAACAGACAACUCAUUACACCAACCCAUACUUCUGCUACUAAAAACAAAGGAUUGCCAAAGAGUUUAUUACACCAAAACUAUUAAAAAACUGAUACUGCUAAAAGCCACUUGCAGAAAACAUUAUAACCAGCUCAAUAUUAUAGCUCUACCAGAAUAAUCCACCAUUCCAACCACUUUUGAUUCAAAGAAACUCUAUCCAAACUGCAAACACAUUUUCCACCUAGCCUGAGAAUCACGCCACAAUGGUUGACUAGCACGAAUCUCAGCCGGAACCUCUUGCAACAGACUAAAAAUCACAACUCAACCCUCUGCUUUACCGAACCUCCAUAACAAAAUCACUAACUUCAAUAUCACGUCUCGAUCAUCUAAGUUUGCUUGGCAGAGAAAGAAAACUUAAUUCUCUUGGCUGCGCCAAUUCACGCCACACAUCUAAGCACCGAAGUCUUAGCGACAACGACAACCAGAGCAGAAAAACCGCAUAUCAAAGUAAAUUUUGAACAGUGAACAAAUUUUGGCAUCUCCUAACCCACAGCUAAACCCCCUGCUAUAGCAUCAACCCCUUUUACCGAUGAGAGAUCUUUAUUCAUUCUUAAUUCCAAGACAAGCUUUAGGAUUCAAUUACCAUUGCGACAUAUUAACAUUGAUAUUAACCUAUUGAAUUCGCAACCAAUUCCAAGAGAGCAUUUUAGCCUCUUCUACCAUUUUUUUAACACAAAUUUCUUUGUUUCAAAAGAUUCUAUUGUUUCUCGCUUUCCAUAUAACCCAAACACACGUAAACCACACCACUUCAACCUUCUUUGACACCAGUCUUCCAUAGCCCAUCAAGCCUUUAAAUUGCUCCAGGUGUUGCAGCCCUUCUCUUUGUAACAUUGUGGAUAUUCUGAGCCAAUGACAUAUGGAAUACCACAUACCUGCAAAAUAUGAGCACUCGAAAAAUAGAUGUGAAACUGAUUCCUCUAUCCCGCACUCCCCUACACAUCUAAUUAAACUUAUGUUUAACACUCCUCUUUUGGCUAGAUUAUCUUUUGUUGGAAUUUUGUUUUGAAACAUUCUCCACACAAAACACGUGACUUUUGUUGGUACCCCCGCCUUAUUCCAUGCUCUUGAUCAUAAUGGAUUGGAACAAUUAGGGAGAUUCAUGAUUAAGCCCUUGUAGGUAUCUUUUACUGAGUAUUCAUUUGAACACUCCAUAGAAGAAUCUGUGCCUAAUUUGCAGAUUUCCUUCCACCAUGAAGAGUGGUCUUUGUCCCCCGAAAACUGGACAAUAUUAAGUGACCCGUAUUUAUUUACCAAUGCCCUGUACCAUAGCCCCCUCCUCUCAUUUUUAAUUUUCCACGCCCAUUUUCCUAACAACGCUGCAUUAAAAAGUCUCAGAUUUCUGAUCCCUAACCCCCCCGUCCUCUAACGGCCUACAAACCUUUUCCCAACUUACCCAAUUAAUUUUCCUCUCUUCCUCACUGCCUCCCUAUAAAAACUGUUUGAAAAGAUAUUCUAAUUUAGACACGAUACCUGAUGGAGCCUUGAAAAACGAGAGAAAGUAAACCGGAAGUGCCGAUAAGAUAGAUUUUAAGAUGACUACUCUGCCACCAAAGGACAAAUGUUUAUUUUUCCAACAUGAUAGUCUGGAUCUUACUUUAUUUACCACUUGUUUCCAAGUUUCUUUCAACUUAGGAUUUGCACCGAUUGGGAGACCGAGAUGAUUAAAUGGCAACGAUCAUAUUUUACAAUUCAGGGUGCUUGCUGCCUCUUCCAUCCAACACUGGGCAACGUUGAUUCCAAUUAAUGAACUCUUGUGAUAAUUUACUUUUAGACCCGACAUCACUUAAAAUAACAACAAAUUUGCCUUUAUGAUUCGAAUAUUUGACCACCUCUUUUCACCUAUUACCAAAUUGUCAUCAGCGUAUUGUAAGUGAGAAAAACGAUCGUCUCCCAAAUCAAAUUUGUAACCCGAGAACUUCCUGACUAAUUAGCUCUCUUCAUCCGCAUAUUGAACCCUUUGCCUCUAUUAGAAACAGGAAUGGAGACAAUGGGUCUCCUUGUCUUAGACCCCUCCCCAUCUUAAAUUCCUUCGUGGGGCUUCCGUUCACUAGAACCGAGACUGAUGACGACUUUAGACACUCUGAUAUCCACCUCCUUUACUUCUCAUGAAAAUUCAUUUUUUGCAUCACAAAUUCUAAAAAAAUCCAAUCUACCGAAUCAUAUGCUUUUUCGAAAUCCACUUUAAAUAAUAUCACCUCUUCCUUUUUUCUCUUGGCUUCGUCCUUAAUUUCAUUCGCAAUGAGGAUCCCGUCGAGGAUUUGCCUACCGGUAAUAAAAGCUGAUUGUGUAUCUGAAAUUAUACUUCCAGCUACCUUUUUCAGCCU